rnacentral:rRNA from 1 species
ACUCCAACCUGGCAUCCUUCCAGCUGGUCGAUUCUUCGGGAGGCAGCAGCGGGGAAUAAUGCACAACAGGGGGAACCAGCAUGAAGCGACCAUGCGGGAGUGAAGAAGAUGUCCGGAUGGUAAAAAUGUGUCCUUGGUGAAGAAAAAAAUGACGGUAACCAAGGAGGAAGCCCCGGCUAACUACGUGCCAGCAGCCGCGGUAAUAAU